GCGACCCCAGGUCAGGCGGGCCACCCGCUGAAUUUAA
rnacentral:rRNA from 1 species